AAAGAACGCUGGCGGCAGGCCUAACACAUGCAAGUCGAGCGAGGACUUCGGUUCUAGCGGCGGACGGGUGAGUAACGCGUGGGAAUGUGCCCUUCUCUACGGAAUAGCUCUGGGAAACUGGGAGUAAUACCGUAUACGCCCUAUUGGGGAAAGAUUUAUCGGAGAAGGAUCAGCCCGCGUUGGAUUAGGUAGUUGGUGGGGUAAUGGCCUACCAAGCCGACGAUCCAUAGCUGGUUUGAGAGGAUGAUCAGCCACACUGGGACUGAGACACGGCCCAGACUCCUACGGGAGGCAGCAGUGGGGAAUCUUAGACCAUGGGGGCAACCCUGAUCUAGCCAUGCCGCGUGAGUGAUGAAGGCCUUAGGGUUGUAAAGCUCUUUCAGCUGGGAAGAUAAUGACGGUACCAGCAGAAGAAGCCCCGGCUAACUCCGUG
rnacentral:rRNA from 1 species